UUCUAUAACAAGGAAAAGGACAAAAAGCUGAAAAUCCACUAAAUACCAAAAAACAUAAAGUAACUACGAUAGGAAUCCAUAACAAGUGCUAAACAAAGUACAAGGUGGUCUCUCUAUACAUGGUACAAAACCUCUCCCUCUCUCUAACACAAGUAAAGAAGGAGUAACCACCUAGCGCAAAAGAACUCUCCCCGAGCUAGCUAUGCGACACCCUUGCCGCGAUCCCGUGCCUCCGCCGAUGCCGAAGGCUCUGAAGAAGAAACAUAAAAACAGUGGCGUGAGAACUAUUAAUUAAUAGUUCACAGUGGGCAAUUACUGGCUUCAGUGAAAUGCACCACUAGGCCCAACUACAAAAGAGGGUCAGUGUAAAUAAAUAACCAAAAGCGAUAAAUGCAACGGAUAAGUAAAAAUGAAUACCAUAUAACCAUGAUGUCUCUACUUAGCUUUAUUUGCAUAAGUAAGAAAACUACUACUAUGAGUAUAUGCACAUGAAUAUUGAACAUGUAAACGCAUGAAUAUGCAACUAACCCAAUGUCCAC
rnacentral:lncRNA from 1 species